rnacentral:tRNA from 1 species
AGGGUGAUAGUUAAAUAUAACAUGUGAUUUGCAUUCAAAAAGUAUUGAGUAAUCAAUUCACCUUG